AUUGAACGCUGGCGGUAGGCCUAACACAUGCAAGUCGAACGGCAGCACAGUAAGAGCUUGCUCUUACGGGUGGCGAGUGGCGGACGGGUGAGGAAUACAUCGGAAUCUACUUUUUCGUGGGGGAUAACGUAGGGAAACUUACGCUAAUACCGCAUACGACCUACGGGUGAAAGCAGGGGAUCUUCGGACCUUGCGCGAUUGAAUGAGCCGAUGUCGGAUUAGCUAGUUGGCGGGGUAAAGGCCCACCAAGGCGACGAUCCGUAGCUGGUCUGAGAGGAUGAUCAGCCACACUGGAACUGAGACACGGUCCAGACUCCUACGGGAGGCAGCAGUGGGGAAUAUUGGACAAUGGGCGCAAGCCUGAUCCAGCCAUACCGCGUGGGUGAAGAAGGCCUUCGGGUUGUAAAGCACUUUUGUUGGGAAAGAAAAGCAGCAGGUUAAUACCCCGCUGUUCUGACGGUACCCAAAGAAUAAGCACCGGCUAACUUCGUG
rnacentral:rRNA from 1 species